rnacentral:rRNA from 1 species
UCCACAGCCAUAUCACCCUGCAGCCCAAGACUGGUUGCCCACCUGGUCAGUACCUGGAUGGGAGACCUCCUGGGAAAACUAGGUUGCUGUUGGAG